GGACUGUUCGUUCAACUGGAUAGGACAUAGCCCUGCGAAGGCUAUAAUGGUUGGUUCAAAUCCACCACGGUCUACCA
rnacentral:tRNA from 1 species